UACGUAGGGACCAAGCGUUGUUCGGAUUUACUGGGCGUAAAGGGCGCGUAGGCGGCGUGUCAAGUCAAUUGUGAAAUCUCCGGGCUUAACUCGGAACGGUCAAUUGAUACUGAUGUGCUAGAGUGCAGAAGGGGCAAUCGGAAUUCUUGGUGUAGCGGUGAAAUGCGUAGAUAUUGGGAGGAACACCAGUGGCGAAGGCGGCUACCUGGACCGGUUCUGACGCUGAGGCGCGAAAGCGUGGGUAGCAAACAGG
rnacentral:rRNA from 1 species